rnacentral:lncRNA from 1 species
GCAGUUUGCGGACCCAAGGGCCAGGCGGCGACUGUUUCCUCGGCACAGCACAAAGGCGGCUCGUGAAGAGAGGUGCGGGCAGGUAGCUGAAGUCUGGGGGAGGGCGGUGCUGGCGGCUUCAAGAGCCUCUGCACACGCCCCUCCAACGAACAGCCAAAUGUCUGGAAAAUAAAAGGAUGACCAGUGGAGAAAGAAACGUAACCAAUAAGAGAUAUGUGAGGAGAUUUAUUAUGAUAAACUGCUCACAGAUUAUGGACCCUGAGAAGACCCACAGUCUACCACCUGCAAGUUGGAGACUCAGGAAAGCCAGCGGUGUCAUUCCACUCUGAGUUUGAAAGCCUGAGAAUCAGGGCAGCUGAUGGUAUAAAUCCUAGUCUGAAGACAAGGGAAGACCAAUAUCCAGCUCAGGGAGCAGACAGAAAGCAAAAGGGGGUUCACAGCCAGUCCAGGACAGGCUCCACAUGUCAGGCGUGGACGAAGUUGUGCAGAAGUGUAAUUACGUCGUGGUCAAUGCAGUGUUCGCUUUUGUAAGUCAGCGCAAAACAUGCCACAGACACAUUCUGUGAAUAACGUUCUGUGGCUAAAAUUCCUUGUAAUGAAAACACAAAGUUAUAUGAAAUAGAAUGACACUUGCUACUCCAGUUAACUCCACUCUGUACCUGGGGGUUCUGACUCCAUAUGUGGUUUUGGCGGUGUGUUGCUGUGCUAGAUCCUUCCACAUUCAACAAGUGGCAGACUAUGUAAAAGGUAAGAGUCCCCAGGGCAAAGUCACUGAGCCAUGAUAUCUGUAAUUUAUACUGGGGCAUCUGAAACCUGUAUGAGAAUUUUCAAGAAACCCAUAGGAAUGGGAAUAUCACAUACAAAUUGAGCACAAUGAGAAACUUUUUAAUAGGGUCCAAGGGAGAACAAAAGAGGUAGAUCUCCACAGCCUCGGAAGAGUCAACAGCAGUGGAAAGAAGGCAAGUUUUUCCCAGAGUCCUCAUGUGGAGCACCUGUGCCCUUUCUUUCCAUCUGAUCUCCUAACACAGAGAAGCACAACCUCAGAGAAUACAGCUUGUCCCCCACGGACUUGUUCCUGGCCCCUGAAGUUGUCCUCAUAGGGGGUCCCUGGGCUCCAUCUGCAGCUAUUCUGCCAACCCCCUUCCUACAACCAAGCUCCCCAGGCACAAUCUUGGUCAGGAACAACUUAAGGAAAUUGAGCCUGGAAUUCAGUGUCUGCUUUAGUUCUGAUACUCAGGCUUGUUCCAUCCCUAUUCAUUGGUCUUAGAACUGCCUCCCUGCUGUAUUUCUUCUCCUUGUCUUGGUGAUUUAUCUCUUAAGGGUCCUUCAAGAACUAAAGCUCACCUCGUUACUAUUUUCAGCCUCCAGGCCUCUUUUGGACCUCAGAUGAAGGGCUGGGACUGUCAGUCCCUGACAGUUUCUGGAUUCUUCAGCAUUAUGCCCCAAAGCUGGCAGCCUUCUGGUUGGACUACAGCCAGGUCAGAUACAGACUUCCUUUGCUGUUAGGCUUGGCCUAUACCCCUAUUGCCUGCCUGCCGCCGCCGUAUAGGCAGAAGCAGCUCCCAAAUCUUCCCUUUCCCAUCCAUCCUGCCUUCUUCAGGUUAACUAGGUCAUUUCAGACAGUGUCCCAAGGUAGGAAGGCUUGAGCUCAAGAGGCUAACUUCUUCCUGCUGAGUGCUAACUGCAGCUAGAAGAGUAAUUCCUAUAGCUCUGUAUCAAGAUGCUUCUUCUUUUGUGACUGCCAUGCUCUUCAGGCUUUAUUUAGGACUGUUAAUGUCAUGUACGCUAUUUACUGGUCAAAUUAAGACUAUUAUUAUAGAGUCACUGAAAGUCUUGAUUUUAAAGAUAACUUCAUGUUUUAGGAAAAUAAUCAUGAUUUAAUGUUUGGGGGGCAAGCAGGAUACAGAACUAUGUCAAGCUGUGUGAGCUCAUUGUGGCAGACAUCAUGUGGGAUUUGGGCUGCUCAGUAUCUAAACUCCCUUCCCAGGUUUAAGGAAUUUCCCACCAUGUGAUUCUACAUGUGCAGUGAAGGCCCCCUACCUUUAGAGAAGCAAAGAAUUAAGAGGCCUUUCUGUCACUGCUCCCUGACAGCUGGGGCAGGCAUGUGGCCUUGACUCAAUUAAGCACCCACCCAGACUUGGAAUUGGGGACCAGCGAUUCACAGAAGCAAGGACUAUGGAAACUCCAUCCUAUCAGUGAAGGUGACACAGUUACCAGGGCAGCAGGGCUGUCAGGGCCAGCAGAACCAGCAUUGUAUCUGGCCUCUGGUUCUGUUUCAGUUAUUGUAUUUUGCAUCUCUUCUUGCUUAAGUUUUAUAUUUUGUAUCUCUUUGCUCAGUGUUUCCUGUAAAUUAUCCGUCUUUGCCUCCAGUUUAUUUCUAAUGUCUUGCAUCAUCUUCUGCAUCAACAGUCUAAAGUCUUUUUCCUGGAGGCUGAGAAUCUUCUAAUCACUUAGCUGUUUUUCUGGGAUUUUUUUUCUUUCUCCCUUCUCUGACUUAUAGUUCUCUGUCUUUUCAUUUUUAUAGGUUUUUGGUCUGGUGACUUUUUUUACAGAUAAUAGAGUUGUAGCCUCUCUUAAUUCUGGCAUCCGCCCCCCUUGUGGCUGAAGUUGGUAUAGGGGCUUGCUGUAGGCUUCCUAAUGGGAGGGACUGAUGCCUGUCCGCUGGUAGGUGGUGCUGAUUCCUAUCCCUCUGGUGGGUGGGGCUUUGUCUCUGGGUGAGAUUAGAGGCACUGGAGUGCCUGGGGGGUCUGUAGGCAGCCUGUUUACUGAUGGGCAGGGCUGUGAUCCCACCUGGACUGUUGUUUGGCCUGAGGCUUCUCAGCCUGAUGGGUGGAGCCAGAUUUUCCCAAAAUGACCACCUCUCGAUGUGGCCUCCUCUUUGUCUUCUGGAGUAGGAUAUCUUGUUGAAAGUUUCCAGUCCAUUUGGUUGAAGGUUGUUCAGCAUUUGGUUGUAAAUUUUGUUGUUUUUAGGAGAGAAGUUGAGCUCCAGUCCUUCUAUUCUGCCAUCUUAAUCCCAUCUCCUCUGGUUCUGUUUUUUUAAAACCCUCCUUUGUCAUUUUUACUCUUUUUCAGGACUGGUUCUCUAGGCUUUCCUGUGAAUUUCUGAACUAACAAAUAUCUUUUCAGUAAAUUCCUUUCUUCUUAAAGGAGUAACAGCUUUUUCUGUUCAUUGCAGCUAAGAAUUCUGACAAGUGUACCAAUGCUUUUUAAAAUGCAAAGAGAAAAGACUUGAUGUACACUCAUUGUUAAUGAUGGUUAUCUUUAGGUGUAUAGAAUCACAGAUCAUUUUAGUUUUCUUCUUUUUUCCUGGGAACAUUUCCUAAAAAUUUCAGUAAAGUGGUAUUACCUUAGCAGUCAAGAAAGAGCUAAGUUUUAAAAUUGGAGAUUUCCUUGGAUCUCUGAAGUCCUUAAUUGUUGGAAAACAAUUACCUUGAUUAAUCAAGUGGAAUUUUAUUUUGGCACCUGUGACUUCAGUUUUGGCUUGGGCAAGUCAUAGGUAUUGGGGUAAGAGAAAUGCCAAUAUAUUUUGUGAAAAAAAAAAAACCCCGAGACCAGUUCUUACCUCGCAAUCCUGGUCUACUUAUAUUUUUUAUUUGUUUUAGAACUCUAUAGUCCUUUGAUGGGAGGCCUGAGAAUAUUGGACUAUUUUUAGAGAACUUUAACCCAAUUCCAAGCAAUAAGGAGUUUCUUAACACUAAUGUUUAUAAAUGUGUAUAAGCACAAGAACACUGCUCGUAUGAUUCUUUGUUGGUUUCUCCUAAGUAGCUAUCCCAACAGUUUUGUGAAUACUGUAAAUAAUAGUCUAAAAAUACCAGGAUAUUGAACCUACCAGUAAUUCGUGCAGUUGGCUGAGCAGCUACCAGCAAUGGUGUGAGUAACACAGUGGAAACUGUAUAAUGGUGUCCUUCGUUAGAACUAAAUCCCAGCUAUCAAGAGAAAACAAAGAUCACCAUUGAUAGGAAGCAGUGGUCGUCUUGUUUCUAUAAGAGCCUGGGGAGUUUUCAGUAUCCCCGCCUCCCUCUAGGAGAUUGCCUGCUUUUGACCAUGGGUGAGAGAUCAAAGUUACAUGGGAUGAGAGUCUCUUGCCCCUCCAUCAACACUGCUGAGACAGCAGUCAAGGGAACUCUGAAUCUGAUCCAGUUGUGAUCACUGAGUUGCUGCAGCCCUCAGAGUGUGGGGACCCUAUUGAUCAUGCCAAAUGAAGCAUCAAAGCACAGUAAAAUGGAAGAAGCAUAGCAUUUAGUCCAAUGGACUUGGUGUUAGAGCCCAGUCCAAAUAGCCACCAGCUGAUCACAUGAGGCUUUCUGAGCCUCGGUUUCACUACAGAAUGUAGAUAAAAGAAACACCUCAUAGUAUCAAAGGAAAUAGCCCAUGUAAAACUCUGAGUACAGUUUCUGGCUUAUAAUGGGUACUCAGUAAAUGGGACUUCUCUUCCAUCCAUGAGCUCUGCUCCCUUUAUUUUUCUGGGAAAUCCUUUAUCUUUUAGAAAGAGUGACUUCAGAUGCAAUUUUUGCAGAGAUAGUUAUUUUUUCCCAACCUCUCAAAUCUAGUAAAAUGCUAAAAUUACCUUCUAAUUAUUUUCUGGAAAGAGGUGCCUUGCCUGAACCAUGAAAAAUUAUCAAAAAAGGGAAACAUUCGUAGCUCAAUGAAUGAUCUGUGUCAAUAUUGCGUGUGACAAAUAUAUCAUCAUUUAACAUGUAGGAAUCAGCAUUAAAGUGCAGGGAAAAGGUAUUAGAGCAAGCCCAUGAGGUUGAAUAGUGCAACAAAAAAAGAUUGACAUUUGCUUAGUGAGGAUGCCAAGCUUGAGUGAUAAUCAACACUUUCUUCUGCUUGUUGAAUAAGAGGAAUACUCCGUAUUGAGCAAAAUGCCUUCAUAAACUGCUUGGGUGUAGCUAAUUUAUUUGGACAUUAAGAUAUAGUUUUCCCAUAUCCUUCCAAAUAGCAUUUUUGUUGCCAAUAUGUAAAUGGGUCUCCAGUCUCUCAGAAGGUGACACAAGAAAAGAAGUGCAGAAAAGAAGGAAAAUCAAACUAGAAAAGAAAAGAAGCCCUGUCCAAAAAAAUCAAUAAUUUUGCUACUGAGAAAUUGCUACCAUCCUUAUUCAGGAAGGGGUGGAAAGAUCAGACCAAGCUAACUUGUGUGAUAAAUGAGUUUAUAAAGUAGCCUGUACCAGGAGACUAAUUUAAUUGGCUGCUUAAAGUCUGAUAAUAUACCAUGCUACUACAAAUUUUUUCCUUUAUUUUAAUCUUCAAUUUAAGCUGAGUAUAAGGCACACCAUGUCUGCCUAAUGGGACAAGGAACACCAAUUGCUGCUGGGGGCAUACAACCACCUGUGGUAGGAAUUCCCUUUUGGCACAGAAAGUUAAGGAUCCAGCAUUGUCACUGCAGUGGCUUGGGUCACUUCUGUGGUGUGGGUUCGAUUCCUGGCCUGGGAACUUCCAUAUGCCAUGGUG